rnacentral:rRNA from 1 species
CGCGUAGGCGGCUUGUACAGUCAGACGUGAAAUUCCUGGGCUCAACCUGGGGGCUGCGUUUGAUACGUGCGGGCUUGAGUUCGGAAGAGGGUCGUGGAAUUCCCAGUGUAGAGGUGAAAUUCGUAGAUAUUGGGAAGAACACCGGUGGCGAAGGCGGCGACCUGGUCCGAUACUGACGCUGAGGCGCGAAAGCGUGGGGAGCAAACAGGAUUAGAUACCCUGGUAGUCCACGCUGUAAACGAUGUGCGCUGGAUGUUGGGUGACAUAGUCAUUCAGUGUCGUAGCUAACGCGAUAAGCGCACCGCCUGGGGAGUACGGCCGCAAGGUUGAA